AUUGAACGCUGGCGGCAGGCCUAACACAUGCAAGUCGAGCGGAUGAAGGGAGCUUGCUCCUGGAUUCAGCGGCGGACGGGUGAGUAAUGCCUAGGAAUCUGCCUGGUAGUGGGGGAUAACGUCCGGAAACGGGCGCUAAUACCGCAUACGUCCUGAGGGAGAAAGUGGGGGAUCUUCGGACCUCACGCUAUCAGAUGAGCCUAGGUCGGAUUAGCUAGUUGGUGGGGUAAAGGCCUACCAAGGCGACGAUCCGUAACUGGUCUGAGAGGAUGAUCAGUCACAUUGGAACGGAGACACGGUCCAGACCCCGAGGGGGGGACGAGGGGGGAAAUUUGGGAAAAGGGGCGAAAGCCUGACCCAGCCAGGCCGGGGGGGUGAAGAAGGUCUGCGGAUUGUAAAGCCCUUUAAGGUGGGAGGAAGGGAAGUAAGUUAAUACCUGGCUGUUUUGCCGUUACCAACAGAAAAAGCACCGGCAAACUUGGG
rnacentral:rRNA from 1 species